rnacentral:rRNA from 1 species
CCUACGGGAGGCAGCAGUGGGGAAUAUUGGACAAUGGGCGGAAGCCUGAUCCAGCAACGCCGCGUGAGGGAUGACGGCCUUCGGGUUGUAAACCUCUUUCAGUACCGACGAAGCGCCCGUUGUGGGUGGUGACGGUAGGUACAGAAGAAGCACCGGCCAACUACGUGCCAGCAGCCGCGGUAAUACGUAGGGUGCGAGCGUUGUCCGGAAUUAUUGGGCGUAAAGGGCUCGUAGGCGGUUUGUCGCGUCGGGAGUGAAAACACCGGGCUUAACUCGGUGCCUGCUUUCGAUACGGGCAGACUAGAGGUAUGCAGGGGAGAACGGAAUUCCUGGUGUAGCGGUGAAAUGCGCAGAUAUCAGGAGGAACACCGGUGGCGAAGGCGGUUCUCUGGGCAUUACCUGACGCUGAGGAGCGAAAGUGUGGGGAGCGAACAGGAUUAGAUACCCUGGUAGUCCACACCGUAAACGUUGGGCGCUAGGUGUGGGGCCUAUUCCAUGGGUUCCGUGCCGCAGCUAACGCAUUAAGCGCCCCGCCUGGGGAGUACGGCCGCAAGGCUAAAACUCAAAGGAAUGACCGGNNGAGAGNGCGAGACGACGACGAGGAGAG